rnacentral:lncRNA from 12 species
AUGCUUUGGAAAGAACACUCCAGAGGCAUGACUGUAUCUGUGAAUUCCAGCCCCUGCAGACAGUCUGUGAACCUCUUCAGAAUCUAUUUAGGGCCUAGGAAGAGGACAGUGUUAUCCAGGAAGAGAGAAGAUAAAGAAACAGUUAUAGAAAGAAUGACUCUGGCUCUUUAUCACAGAAACCACGGGUUGCUCAGGGGACCACUGACAAAGUCUCAAUCAUUGUAGGUAUGUGUACUUAUAAGGUAAGGCUUUACAGAUCAUAGAUAGUCAUCUAAAUUUUGUCAGGUAGCCCUUCCAUUUCUAUAACCUGUUGAAAAAUAUGUUCGGGUGCUAUUAAUAUAGCUCCCAACUGGGACGUCAGAACCUGUGUGCAGGUAGAGCUGUCAUGCCACACACAGCAGGGUUGGACUUUGAAUGGCCAGGGUAACAUCAAUUCUGCGGCUGUAUUGACAUCUUUGUUUGUGUGUGAAGACCCACACACAUACCCCAAAGCUCCCACUAACUUGACCUUUUCCUAUAUUCCUUUUGUCAUCCUCAAUGAAAAUGGCACUUGGUCCUGACAUCAUUUUUCAAUUUACUCGUUGUCUCCUAACCAUUUUUGUGAUGGGGAUAAAUCUCAAUCUGUUUAUUUCAUGUUCCUCAUUUGAAUCUUAUUGAGUAUCCCGAGGCCCUCUAAAGGGACCUGCAGUACAAAUAUUAAAAGGGGACAUAAAGACUUGAGAUGAUCAGAGCCUGUUGUUUGUCAAUGCCUUGGGUUGUGUCUCUAUGUCUCUUACUCUGAUGUUGCCCCUAAGAUGAUUUUAUACACAUUCUGAAAGGUACAAGACUCUACUUCUUAAAACUCAGAGUCAGUCUGCAGCUUCUUUGGAAGGACUUCAGUUAUCUGUAGAUGGGAAGACUGCCUGAUAAAUUUCUGAUCUUCAUCCAGCUGUUACUGCCAGUCUGGUUGUGAAAUGUGACAGGACCAUGGCCAACUGUGUAAUGUUGAAAUAUGUUCCAUUUGAAAUUCCUUUCUAUCCUCUGCAUUGCUAUGUGAAUUAAGAGAGUAUGACUGGCAGUGAUCAGAGGCUUAAAUCACAUUUUGAAUUUGCCUAAAGAGGAUUUGUUGGGUUUUUCUACUAGUCACAAGACAUUGGGCGAGGGGCCAUUUACAAGGGAUUGCAACUGUAUGGAGAGCUUACAAUCCAGUGCAAGACUUUGUGAAAGGAUACUUAAAGUAUAAGGU